CGAGGGGCAGCAUGAACUUAGCUUGCUAAGUUUGAUGGCGACCGGCGCACGGGUGAGUAACACGUAUCCAACCUGCCGAUGACUCGGGGAUAGCCUUUCGAAAGAAAGAUUAAUACCCGAUGGCAUAGUUCUUCCGCAUGGUAGAACUAUUAAAGAAUUUCGGUCAUCGAUGGGGAUGCGUUCCAUUAGGUUGUUGGCGGGGUAACGGCCCACCAAGCCUUCGAUGGAUAGGGGUUCUGAGAGGAAGGUCCCCCACAUUGGAACUGAGACACGGUCCAAACUCCUACGGGAGGCAGCAGUGAGGAAUAUUGGUCAAUGGACGAGAGUCUGAACCAGCCAAGUAGCGUGAAGGAUGACUGCCCUAUGGGUUGUAAACUUCUUUUAUACGGGAAUAAAGUGAGGCACGUGUGCCUUUUUGUAUGUACCGUAUGAAUAAGGAUCGGCUAACUCCGUGCCAGCAGCCGCGGUAAUACGGAGGAUCCGAGCGUUAUCCGGAUUUAUUGGGUUUAAAGGGAGCGUAGGCGGACGCUUAAGUCAGUUGUGAAAGUUUGCGGCUCAACCGUAAAAUUGCAGUUGAUACUGGGUGUCUUGAGUACAGUAGAGGCAGGCGGAAUUCGUGGUGUAGCGGUGAAAUGCUUAGAUAUCACGAAG
rnacentral:rRNA from 1 species